rnacentral:rRNA from 1 species
AAGCCAGUCGAAGAUACCAGCUGGCUGCAACUGUUUAUUAAAAACACAGCACUGUGCAAACACGAAAGUGGACGUAUACGGUGUGACGCCUGCCCGGUGCUGGAAGGUUAAUUGAUGGGGUCAGCCGUAAGGCGAAGCUCCUGAUCGAAGCCCCAGUAAACGGCGGCCGUAACUAUAACGGUCCUAAGGUAGCGAAAUUCCUUGUCGGGUAAGUUCCGACCUGCACGAAUGGCGUAAUGAUGGCCAGGCUGUCUCCACCCGAGACUCAGUGAAAUUGAACUCGCUGUGAAGAUGCAGUGUACCCGCGGCAAGACGGAAAGACCCCGUGAACCUUUACUAUAGCUUGACACUGAACAUUGAGCCUUGAUGUGUAGGAUAGGUGGGAGGCUUUGAAGUGUGGACGCCAGUCUGCAUGGAGCCAACCUUGAAAUACCACCCUUUAACGUUUGAUGUUCUAACCUAGGCCCAUAAACUGGGUCGGGGACCGUGUCUGGUGGGUAGUUUGACUGGGGCGGUCUCCUCCUAAAGAGUAACGGAGGAGCACGAAGGUUGGCUAAGCAUGGUCGGACAUCAUGCGGUUAGUGCAAAGGCAUAAGCCAGCUUGACUGCGAGAGUGACGGCUCGAGCAGGUACGAAAGUAGGUCUUAGUGAUCCGGUGGUUCUGAAUGGAAGGGCCAUCGCUCAACGGAUAAAAGGUACUCCGGGGAUAACAGGCUGAUACCGCCCAAGAGUUCAUAUCGACGGCGGUGUUUGGCACCUCGAUGUCGGCUCAUCACAUCCUGGGGCUGAAGUAGGUCCCAAGGGUAUGGCUGUUCGCCAUUUAAAGUGGUACGCGAGCUGGGUUUAGAACGUCGUGAGACAGUUCGGUCCCUAUCUGCCGUGGGCGUUGGAAGAUUGAGAGGGGUUGCUCCUAGUACGAGAGGACCGGAGUGAACGCACCACUGGUGUUCGGGUUGUCAUGCCAAUGGCAUUGCCCGGUAGCUAAGUGCGGAAGAGAUAACCGCUGAAAGCAUCUAAGCGGGAAACUUGCCUCGAGAUGAGUCUUCCCUGUC